UUGAAUAAAAUAUAGUAAUUGUCCACUGG
rnacentral:piRNA from 1 species